GUGUAAGAGCCCGUCUGAAGCCCCUCAUUUUCCAUUCUGCCUUCCGAUUGCCACAAGAAAGAAUCCCUUCCCCCACUGCAGUUCCGGCUUAGAACAGGACACAGCGCAGUAAUUCAAAUGGACUUAUUCUUCAUUGGAUUCGUCUUGCUUUGGUGGUUUCUGUGGACUCACCUGUUCCCGCGUGGCGAUUACAAUGGACUUUCAUUAUUACACUUGUUCCCCCCCUCUCUCCUCUGUGGACUAUAAUUGGACCCCCGAGUCGACCAGAACUUCGAAGACUUCCCCGACACGACAGACGGAUCCCCAUCGUCCGGACCGCUGAGGAUCUUGCCUGUGUUGGUAGCUAUUCCCAUACCCCUCUUCUCUCUCUCUCUCUCUCUCUCCUUUUAUCUCCUUUCCGAUCCCCACUAUCGCAUUUACUGUUUUGGCCCCUAAUAAAGGCGCAUUUGUUGUGAUUAACUGAUA